rnacentral:lncRNA from 1 species
UGCAGCUACCUGUGUGAUUGAGUUCCUCUAUCAUGAGUUUCGACUGAAUUAGGGUUAAGGUGAACUCGUCAAACCCAACAUCAGUCAUAUGAAUCAAUCGAUCGAUCCGAGUCCGAUGUGAAACCCCAAUGGAAAACUAUUUUUCUAUUAUUUCACUCUGCCAUGGCCAUGGGCUUAAGGACUUGAUCUUUCGAACACAUAG